CUCCUAUUUCUGCCCCA
rnacentral:snRNA from 1 species